UCACCACCACCGAAACGCAACAACUCACUCACAAUGGCAGCGAGAAUCGGAUCCUUGAGGCACAACUUCGAGGAGAGGCUCCUCUCGAAAAUGGACUUCCCGGAGUUGAGGCUCAACGGAAACAGCAACCCCAACGCGCUCUCCGAUCGCGUGAUGAGGCUCUGCAGUGGCAUGCGUGAGUUUUUCCAGAAGCUACAGGAGAUGGGUCGCUCCGAUCCGAGAAAGGUUGUGUUCGCCAUGAAAGCAGGGCUAUCGUUGGCACUCGUUUCGUUGGUUAUAUACAUUAAGGAGGAACAGUUAAGCAAGUAUUCCAUUUGGGCCAUCCUCACCGUCGUUGUUGUUUUCGAAUUCAGCGUAGGUGCGACCCUGAACAAAGGAUUCAAUCGUUCUUUGGGAACGAUUUCUGCUGGAGGGCUUGCUCUUGGUAUUGCACAGUUAUCCGUUUUAGCCGGGAAGUUUGAGGAACUUAUUAUUGUACUCAGUAUAUUUAUUGCAGGAUUUUGUGCAAGCUAUGUGAAGCUGUACCCUGCAAUGAAGUCAUAUGAAUAUGGCUUUCGGGUGUUUUUGUUGACAUUUUGUAUUGUAUUGGUAUCAGGGAGAACUAGCAGGGAAUUUUUCACAACAGCGUUUUACAGAUUAGUUCUUAUUGCAGUUGGUGCUGGCAUAUGUUUGUUUGUAAAUAUUUUCAUAUACCCCAUCUGGUCUGGGGAGGAUCUGCAUAAAUUAGUGGUGAAAAAUUUCAAUGGAGUUGCUACGUCUUUAGAAGGCUGUGUUAAUGGGUACCUGCAAUGUGUUGCAUAUGAGAGGGUCCCUUCAAAAAUUCUUGUUUAUCAAGCCUCUGAUGACCCUCUUUAUCGUGGCUAUAGAGCAGCAGUGCAAUCGUCAAGUCAAGAGGAGACUUUGUUAGAUUUUGCAUUAUGGGAGCCACCUCAUGGUCCAUACAAGACGUUCAAGUAUCCUUGGAGAAGUUAUGUUAAAGUCAGUGGAGCUUUGAGGCAUUGUGCUUUCAUGGUCAUGGCAAUGCAUGGAUGCAUUCUUUCAGAAAUACAGGCACCCCCAGAAAAGAGGCUGGUUUUCAGUAAUGAACUUCAGAGGGUUGGUACUGAAGGAGCUAAAGUAUUGCGUCAACUUGGAAGCAAAGUGGAAAAGAUGGAAAAACUAAGCACCUCUGACAUACUCUUGAAAGUACAUGAAGCAGCUGAGCAAUUGCAGAUGAAGAUUGACCAACAAUCAUUCCUCCUAGUCAAUUCAGAGUGCUGGCAAGCAGCAAGAACAAGAAGGCCUAAAGAAAAUGAAAAUCCUCAAAAUUUGAUUGAUGUUAAAGACAAUGAAAACAAACAGUCAAUGAUUGCUUCCCUCAGUGAAACAAGGGGUGACUCGAGACUUAACAUAAGCACAGAGCCUUCAAUGCCAGAAUUGAACUUUUCACAAAGCAUGAUGUGCAAUAAAAUAUCAUGGCCACGUCUCUCAUUCUUGGGAGAAGCCAUGGUAAGUGAGCAAGAUUCCAAAGUAUAUGAAAGUGCGAGCUCCUUGUCUUUGGCAACAUUUGCUUCACUUUUAAUAGAGUUUGUUGCAAGACUUCAAAAUCUUGUUGAUGAAUUCCAAGAUCUCAGUGAGAAGGCCAAUUUCAAAGACCCGUUUGACAAACCAAUGUUGAAGUAGGUUAAAAUGCCACUUUGGACCUGACAUUUCAGGCUCCUUAGCUUCAAAAUUGGAGUGGUAACAGAGAUUACUAACGUGAGCGGGUGGCUUCCCAGAGCUGCAUCUCGCCGUGCUCGUAGUAUUCUGAGGUGCGAAUGAUAACAAGAAUGAGGUGAUCCCCUUCUUUGACAAUGUUAUCCACCGUUCAUUUUAGUGCUUUGAUGCUGCAUGGUGAGAAAUCCACAGCCACGCCCAAUCUCCUAUUUGCAUUACCAGCCAUUUCUCUCUACAACAACGAUCAAACUAUCUUAUUCUUGAGACCUCUUUUUUGUUAAGUUGCUCUGUAUAAUAGGUCAGGUUUUUGUUUUGUUUUAUUUUUAAUGUUAACGUUUCACGUGACAUUGAGCUUUGAUGACCGAAGACCGCAACUUCUGAGGCA